UGAGGAAUAUUGCGCAAUGGAGGAAACUCUGACGCAGCGACGCCGCGUGAAGGAUGAAGGCCCUCUGGGUUGUAAACUUCUGUAGAGAGGGAAGAAUUUCUCGCUUCGCGAGAUUGACGGUACCUCUAAAGUAAGGGUCGGCUAACUACGUGCCAGCAGCCGCGGUAAUACGUAGGACCCAAGCGUUGUCCGGAUUUACUGGGUGUAAAGGGAGCGCAGGCGGAUUUAUAAGUCGAUGGUGAAAUCUUGCGGCUCAACCGCAAAACAGCCGUCGAUACUGUUAAUCUUGAGUGUGGAAGAGAGUGGCGGAAUUCAUGGUGUAGCAGUGAAAUGCGUAGAUAUCAUGAAGAACACCGGUUGCGAAGGCGGCCACUUAGUCCAUUACUGACGCUCAUGCUCGAAAGCGUGGGGAUCAAACAGG
rnacentral:rRNA from 1 species